AAGAUCUCUUCUGUAGCAAUGCUAUCAUCCGAGAAGUAGUGGCAGCAGAUCAAAAUACCGGCAUUGUUGCUAAUGAUUCCAGUCAUUGCUUAAAAAUUGGAACCCACCCGCAGAAUUUAGAUGGAGCAACCAAAUCAGAACCAAAUCGCCACUCAACAAACAAUUUCUACGUGAAACAACAACACUAGCACAAACUGGAAACACUUCCAAGAUCAACCAACUGGCCUAUAACUUCCAUCGUGAACCGAAUAAUCUAACCACUUUCCAAAAUAGCUUGUUGGAACUGGCAUAAGGAAAGAACAUAAUGGUCCACAUGACUAUGGCCCUGGUGGCCGGCGGCGAUAUCGGUACCGGUGCUACCAGUCAACAAUCUCGCCUGAAUGUGGAAGUUGACACCAACUGAUUUCUCUUGUGCACCUGGACCAACGAAACCAUACUUUCUACUACUGGAUCAAACGGAAGUGGUUAAAAGGAGAUAACACUUGGUCCACCGGUCAUGAAAGAAUUGGAGACGGAUGGCUAAAUUCCUCUACUGAUACGGCAAGUAAAAAUUGGCCUGGAAACCCAUGAAUGAGAACCCAAAUGAAAAUCGAAAAAAAUCCGUACAUCACACCAGGAAAUAUUACUCGUACCUUACGACUGCAUCUAUAUUGUUUCGGCAGAGGAUUCGAAGUUGUUAGCAAAGUUGUCAUAAAAAAAUUACUUCGAGAAGCCUUCGACUUAUGUGGUUUUGGCAGCGGCACUGGUGGUGGCAAAACUCCUCAUGGCCCUCCAUCAGGGUGGUUUGCCGGUGAUUUUUUUUGGAUCCAACGGAUGGAACCAACGUCUGCAACAAUUAGUCCGCUAGAGGUAAUGGUGGUGGUAGAGGUAAUACUGUUUGCAUUAUUGACGUUCAUAUUAUUUCAGAUCG